rfam:Sporisorium reilianum SRZ2 chromosome 1 complete DNA sequence
GGCCCUAUAGCUCAGCGGUAGAGCGUCGGCUUCCAGUCUCUCUAAUUAUCGGAACUGCCAUUCCGAAGGCCACCCGUUCAAAUCGGGUUGGGGUCA